rnacentral:rRNA from 1 species
GAAAGGCGGGCUAAACCCGCGUACAUGCCACCGGGGCAUCCCGGAGGCAGGAAAGGCUUCGGCCGGACAGGGAUGGGCAUGCGGCGCAUUAGGCAGUAGGCGGGGUAACGGCCCACCUAACCGACGAUGCGUAGGGGUUCUGAGAGGAAGGUCCCCCACACUGGUACUGAGACACGGACCAGACUCCUACGGGAGGCAGCAGUGAGGAAUAUUGGUCAAUGGUCGGGAGACUGAACCAGCCAAGCCGCGUGAGGGAUGAAGGUACAGAGUAUCGUAAACCUCUUUUGUCAGGGAACAAAGGCGGGGACGUGUCCCCGGAUGAGUGUACCUGAAGAAAAAGCAUCGGCUAACUCCGUGCCAGCAGCCGCGGUAAUACGGAGGAUGCGAGUGUUAUCCGGAUUUAUUGGGUUUAAAGGGUGCGCAGGCGGUCUGUUAAGUCAGCGGUCAAAGCCCGGGGCUCAACCCCGGCCCGCCGUUGAAACUGGCAGUCUCGAGUUGGAGAGAAGUAUGCGGAAUGCGCGGUGUAGCGGUGAAAUGCAUAGAUAUCGCGCAGAACUCCGAUUGCGAAGGCAGCAUGCCGGCUCCACACUGACGCUGAGGCACGAAAGCGUGGGUAUCGAACAGGAUUAGAUACCCUGGUAGUCC